UGCUUCAUUGAUUUCCAUUGACAUGUCGAUGCUAAACGUUAAAUCCCAAUGGACUUGUGUCAAAUGUGUUAUCCUACAUUGAAAUGAAUAGAUCUCAGUGAUCUUGAGAUAAUCAGUCUUUAAAAUGAAGUUAGAUUGAGGUAAGCAUGAUUUUGACUAUCUGAGGUAUUAACAGUUGCAUGGAAUCAGUGUGAACAUGGGUAGUGAAGCACACUUUGGCGAAGGUACUAAACUUACAGUCCUAGAUCAUGACAUUAGUUCAGAAGAAGACAUAAAUGUCAGAAUUAUACAACCGUCUGAAAAGGAGAGCUGUAAGAAGAAGGUCACUCUUGUGUGUUCGGCCAAGGACUUCUACCCAGACCAUGUGAGCAUAACAUGGAUGGUUGGAGGCAAAGAAAGAACCGAAGGAGUAGCGACAGACCCUCAUGCCACCAAAAACGAAACAAAAGGAACGUUCUCCAUAUCCAGCAGACUUAAAGUCCGUAAGCAAGAAUGGAACAACGAAGAAAACGAAUUCCGCUGUAAACUGAACUUCUACAAUGGAAACAUGACUCUGGAAGUUUGGAAUACAAAUACGGUCAAAGGAAUUAAAGGGAGUGAUUAUUCCAAAGAGGACUAUGUAAAAUCAUCACAGGUGGUUAAGCUCUCAUAUGGCGUGGUCAUUGCUAAGAGUGGACUGUAUGGCCUCGUCAUCUUUGUGUUUGUAUGGAGAAAGGGUUCACAAGGAAAGUGAAAGAACUGAACAUGUCUGAUUUGAUGAAGUUACCAGAGAACUCUCUCCAUUCACUUCAUCCAGGAGAAGAGAUGCUGUACAUAUGACUGAAGAUUCUCUCUAGAUUUAUCUCUCUUUCUGCUCUUUUCUGAAUAUUUAUCAAGUGUGAAGAUGCUUAAGAUCAGAUUAAUCAUAAAAUCUAGUUGCUGUAUUGAUAUUUUUUGUUGUUGUUUUGCUUGUUUCCUUGCAAUAGCAUA